CCGGGCUAAUACCACAUGAUGUCUUUUUUUCGUAUGGGGAAGAGACCAAAGAGGGCCUCUGCUUGCAAGCUCUCGCCUGUUGAGGGGGUCGCGUCGUAUCAGCUUGUUGGUGAGGUAAUGGCUCACCAAUGCGAUGACGCGUAGCGGGUCUGAGAGGACGAUCCGCCACAUUGGGACUGAGAUACGGCCCAGACUCCUACGGGAGGCAGCAGUGGGGAAUAUUGCGCAAUGGUCGAAAGACUGACGCAGCGACGCCGCGUGUGGGAGGAAGCCUUUCGGGGUGUAAACCACUGUCAGGGGGGAAGAAUCCCGGAUGUUCGAAUAGGGCAUCCGAUUGACGGUACCUCCAGAGGAAGCGCCGGCUAACUCCGUGCCAGCAGCCGCGGUAAGACGGAGGGCGCAAGCGUUGUUCGGAAUUACUGGGCGUAAAGCGCACGCAGGCGGCCUGUUAAGUCCUUUGUGAAAGCCCGGGGCUCAACCCCGGAAUUGCAUCGGAUACUGGCAGACUGGAGACUGGUAGAGGCUAGCGGAAUUCCUGGUGUAGCGGUGGAAUGCGUAGAUAUCAGGAAGAACACCUGUGGCGAAGGCGGCUAGCUGGGCCAGAUCUGACGCUGAGGUGCGAAAGCGUGGGGAGCAAACCGGAUUAGAUACCCUGGUAGUCCACGCCGUAAACGAUGGGCACUAGAUGCC
rnacentral:rRNA from 1 species